rnacentral:rRNA from 1 species
AUUGAACGCUGGCGGCAGGCUUAACACAUGCAAGUCGAGCGAGAGGCGGACGGGUGAGUAAUGUCUUGGAAACUGCCUGAUGGAGGGGGAUAACUACUGGAAACGGUAGCUAAUAGCGCAUACGAUCCGAUGUGCCCAGGUGGGAUUAGCUAGUAGGUGGGGUAAUGGCUCACCUAGGCGACGAUCCCUAGCUGGUCUGAGAGGAUGACCGGCCACACUGGAACUGAGACACGGUCCAGACUCCUACGGGAGGCAGCAGUAGGGAAUAUUGCACAAUGGGCGCAAGCCUGAUGCAGCCAUGCCGCGUGUAUGAAGAAGGCCUUAGGGUUGUAAAGUACUUUCAGCGAGGAGGCGUUACUCGCAGAAGAAGCACCGGCUAACUCCGUGCCAGCAGCCGCGGUAAUAC